rnacentral:rRNA from 1 species
UUCUGUAAGCCUGUGAAGGUGAGUUGAGAAGCUUGCUGGAGGUAUCAGAAGUGCGAAUGCUGACAUGAGUAACGACAAUGGGUGUGAAAAACACCCACGCCGAAAGACCAAGGGUUCCUGCGCAACGUUAAUCGACGCAGGGUUAGUCGGUUCCUAAGGCGAGGCUGAAAAGCGUAGUCGAUGGGAAACAGGUUAAUAUUCCUGUACUUCUGGUUACUGCGAUGGAGGGACGGAGAAGGCUAGGCCAGCUUGGCGUUGGUUGUCCAAGUUUAAGGUGGUAGGCUGAAAUCUUAGGUAAAUCCGGGGUUUCAAGGCCGAGAGCUGAUGACGAGUCGUCUUUUAGAUGACGAAGUGGUUGAUGCCAUGCUUCCAAGAAAAGCUUCUAAGCUUCAGGUAACCAGGAACCGUACCCCAAACCGACACAGGUGGUCGGGUAGAGAAUACCAAGGCGCUUGAGAGAACUCGGGUGAAGGAACUAGGCAAAAUGGCACCGUAACUUCGGGAGAAGGUGCGCCGGCUAGGGUGAAGGAUUUACUCCGUAAGCUCUGGCUGGUCGAAGAUACCAGGCCGCUGCGACUGUUUAUUAAAAACACAGCACUCUGCAAACACGAAAGUGGACGUAUAGGGUGUGACGCCUGCCCGGUGCCGGAAGGUUAAUUGAUGGGGUUAGCGCAAGCGAAGCUCUUGAUCGAAGCCCCGGUAAACGGCGGCCGUAACUAUAACGGUCCUAAGGUAGCGAAAUUCCUUGUCGGGUAAGUUCCGACCUGCACGAAUGGCGUAACGAUGGCGGCGCUGUCUCCACCCGAGACUCAGUGAAAUUGAAAUCGCUGUGAAGAUGCAGUGUAUCCGCGGCUAGACGGAAAGACCCCGUGAACCUUUACUGUAGCUUUGCACUGGACUUUGAGCCUGCUUGUGUAGGAUAGGUGGGAGGCUUUGAAGCGUGGACGCCAGUUCGCGUGGAGCCAUCCUUGAAAUACCACCCUGGCAUGCUUGAGGUUCUAACUCUGGUCCGUGAUCCGGAUCGAGGACAGUGUAUGGUGGGCAGUUUGACUGGGGCGGUCUCCUCCUAAAGAGUAACGGAGGAGUACGAAGGUGCGCUCAGACCGGUCGGAAAUCGGUCGCAGAGUAUAAAGGCAAAAGCGCGCUUGACUGCGAGACAGACACGUCGAGCAGGUACGAAAGUAGGUCUUAGUGAUCCGGUGGUUCUGUAUGGAAGGGCCAUCGCUCAACGGAUAAAAGGUACUCCGGGGAUAACAGGCUGAUACCGCCCAAGAGUUCAUAUCGACGGCGGUGUUUGGCACCUCGAUGUCGGCUCAUCACAUCCUGGGGCUGAAGCCGGUCCCAAGGGUAUGGCUGUUCGCCAUUUAAAGUGGUACGCGAGCUGGGUUUAGAACGUCGUGAGACAGUUCGGUCCCUAUCUGCCGUGGACGUUUGAGAUUUGAGAGGGGCUGCUCCUAGUACGAGAGGACCGGAGUGGACGAACCUCUGGUGUUCCG